GUGAGGAAUUUUCCGCAAUGGGCGAAAGCCUGACGGAGCAAUGCCGCGUGAAGGAUGAAGGCCUAUGGGUUGUAAACUUCUUUUCUCAGAAAAGAAUUAUGACGGUAUCUGAGGAAUAAGCAUCGGCUAACUCUGUGCCAGCAGCCGCGGUAAGACAGAGGAUGCAAGCGUUAUCCGGAAUGAUUGGGCGUAAAGCGUCUGUAGGUUGUUUAAAAAGUAUUCUGUCAAAGAUUAGGGCUUAACCCUAGAUAGGCAGAAUAAACUUUUAAGCAAGAGUGUGGUAGAGGCAGAGGGAAUGCCCGGUGAAGCAGUGAAAUGCGUAGAUAUCGGGAGGAACACCAAAGGCGAAGGCACUCUGCUGGGCCAAUACUAACACUGAGAGACGAAAGCGAGGGGAGCAAAUGGGAUUAGAAACCCCGGUAGUCC
rnacentral:rRNA from 1 species